rnacentral:misc_RNA from 1 species
ACUUAAAAACCAGACAGACAGACUAUUUCUCACUUCUUUGACAAUGACAUUACGGAGAAUUGCGAUUGAUCGUAAUCAAACCCACUUCUGAAAAACUAUAUUUUCUUUUGCUUUUGGAUGUAUUUAAGGACUGAAAGAUGGAUUCGCAAAAACAAAACCAUUCAUCCGAUAUCGUUGAUGUUAGUAAUGCAUCAAGUUUAGUAUCCAAAAGCGAUUUCGAAAGUCUUGGUUUUGUAAUUGACAAUGGCAAACCCAGAUUUAAAUUGGAUGAACCUGUAUCCACAAAUUUCUUUUCAAAAGUUGAUUUAACUAAAUCAGAAAAUUCUCUUGAUGACAGCAAUACGUUAUCAUUUGUCAUACUGGGAAAGAAAUCGUUAGAUUCUAUACAAGCAUCAUCUAUAGCAACGUACAGCGAUAUUCAACAAAAAUGCAUGUCCAUUGAUUAUAAUUCAAUAAUAUCAUCUUUAAAUUCUUCCGAGAUACAACAAAAGUUAACAGAAUUAUUACAGGAGAAUGUCAAAUUAAAAGAAACGUUAAAACAAAAUACUAUAGCUAUGAAAAAACAAUUUAAUACUUUGGCAAUAUGGCAAGAAGAGGUAAUGAAUGUUCACAAAAAUCACAAGCAAAAGUUUACAGAAACCAGACAAUUGAUUAAUCUGCUUAAAGAAGAGAAUGCUGAAUUGAAAUUAAAACUUUAUAAUGUUAAUGCUGAUGAUACAACAGAUGGUACAAGGGAAUUUAAUCAUUCGAUUAUAAAGAAAUUUUGUUAUUCAAUUACUAAGGAAUUUGGUGAUUCUAUUAAUAUAAGUCACUUACAAGAGAAAAUAGCCUCUUUGACGGAUGAACUAAAUAAUUUUAAAUAUAAUUGUGCUAAAUUAUCUGACGAUGUUGACAAAUAUAUCAGUUUGUCAAGUUUGAUGAAUAUACAUUUGAAAAAAACUAGUAAUGCAACACAAGAGCUUGAUAUUCAAAUAAAUGAACCUGAAGAGCAAAAUCUUAUAUCCAAUAAGCCCGAAAAACAAAAUCUUAUAUCCGAUAAGCAAGAAGAGCAAAAACUUAUGUCGAAUAUGCCAGAAGAGCAAAAUCAUAUAUCGAAUAAGCCAGGAGAGCAAAAUCAUGUAUCAAGUAAGCCUGAAGAGCAAAGUCUUAUAUCGAAUAAGCCUGAAGAGCAAAGCCUUAUAUCGAAUAAGCCCAAAGAGCAAAGUCUUAAAAGAAAUAAAUUUGAAAAAGAUGAUAUCACGAAUUAUAUUCAAGUAGAAGAAAUAAAUGAACAUAGUCAUUUCCUUGCAGAUGAAAUAAAAUUGUUACAUAGUUCUAUAAAUGUUAAUAUGCAACAAAUGUCAGACCAUAUCAUUUCUCCUCAAAGUCAUUACUUUACUCAAAAUAUCAAAUUAUAUGGAGAAAUGUUGCAGGAAGUAACCAAUUGUUUUCUUGCACAAAUUGUUCGUCACUCUGCUAUUCAAAAAUGUACAAAGGACUGUAUAAAUAUAUUAGAUGCCUGCGAAGGUAUAAAAUUACCUAAACAAUCAGGCACAAUUGAAGAAAAUUGGUCGCUACAACUCGAUCAAAUACAAAUUUAUAAAGAUAAAUUAUCUACUUAUCAGAAGACGUUGCAUAAAGAGCAAUUGAAAUUAAUAGCAGAUAGACAAUGUUUUAUUAAGAUACAGAACCAAUUUCAAAAGAUAUUUUCUGAUUAUAAUUCCAUUUUGUACGAGUUACAAAUGAUGUCGGAAGAGAACAUUAAAUUAAAUUUAAUGAAAGAUAGUAUCUCUAAAGAAAAUUCACAAGAAAUAACUGAAUUAAAGAAACAAAAAAAUGAAUAUGAGCAAAAAUACAACGAAAUUAAAACUAUUCUAGAACAAGAAAGAGAAACCUGGAGCGAGCAAAAAAAGUUAUUUGAUAAUCUGAAAAACAGUUGGGGUAUGGAAUUGAAAUAUCUGAUGGAACAAAAAGAAAUGCUCUUUAGUUUACAGGGGGAAAAAGAAUUAGCGUGCAAACAAUGUCAAUUACACGAGAGUAAUAAAAAACUUUUACAAACGGAUAAAGAAACAUUAGAACGUAAUUAUAAACAAUUGACCACAGAGGUCGAUGCUUUGCGUAUUCAAUUAGAAGAGAAAGAACGUACCCUUCAAAGAAUUACUAUGAUCAAGGAAGAACUAGCUAAGGAAAUAACAGUACAAAAAAACGAAAUGGAAGUUUUGAAAAUGCAAAUUUCGUUUAACGAAGAAGAUUUCAAUUCUGAAAAGAAAAUUAAAGAGCAACUAUUACUUGAAAAAAGCGAACUACAGAGAGAAUUAGAAACUGCUUAUAAGAAAGUAUAUGCAUGUCAUUCAGAUCCAGAAUAAAAAUCGAGUCUUUAAAGAGAAACAAAAAUUUCUUGGUUGUGUCGAAAGAUUGGAAAAUGUGUUUUGGAAAAGACUUCGUCCUGUUAUAAUAGCCUUUUUAUUGCUAUUUCCGGGAGCGCUUUAUUGUUUUUACACCGAGGGUAGGUUGCUAGCCUCACCCUUAACUUGAAUAUAUAUGCAGUUAAUAAAUAUAAUGUUUAAAAUAUUCAAUUUAAUUCAAGUUUAAAGUUUCCUUCUUUAUUAAUUUAAAAAAAAAAAUAAUUGAUCUGUGUCAUAAGUAAUACUAUUUUAAUAUUUAUAGAUCAAACCAUUUUGAUUAUACAUUAGUUGUUUACACCAAUGAAAUAAAAGAUUUCUUCUUUUAUGUAAUUUA